rnacentral:tRNA from 1 species
UCGGGCGUGGCCGCGGCGUUGCACGGCCGCCGCGUGGGUCUCGCGGAUAACUGGCUGCAUCACGUGCAGGACGUGCGCGCGAA